CUCUCCCAGCCAAACUGGAUGCUUCUUUCUCCAUGUUUUUUGUGCUUUUGUCAUACGUCUGCUCUAAGACAGGGGUAAACCAUAUGCUAAGAAGUU
rnacentral:lncRNA from 1 species